rnacentral:rRNA from 1 species
UACGUAGGGUGCAAGCGUUGUCCGGAAUUAUUGGGCGUAAAGAGCUCGUAGGCGGUCUGUCGCGUCGGCUGUGAAAACUCGGGCUCAACCCGAGCCUGCAGUCGAUACGGCAGACUAGAGUGCUGUAGGGGAGACUGGAAUUCCUGGUGUAGCGGUGAAAUGCGCAGAUAUCAGGAGGAACACCGGUGGCGAAGGCGGGUCUCUGGCGAGUAACUGACGCUGAGGAGCGAAAGCGUGGGGAGCGAACAGG